rnacentral:rRNA from 1 species
AGUGAACGCUGGCGGUAGGCCUAACACAUGCAAGUCGAACGGCAGCACAGAGGAGCUUGCUCCUUGGGUGGCGAGUGGCGGACGGGUGAGGAAUACAUCGGAAUCUACUCUGUCGUGGGGGAUAACGUAGGGAAACUUACGCUAAUACCGCAUACGACCUACGGGUGAAAGCAGGGGACCUUCGGACCUUGCGCGAUUGAAUGAGCCGAUGUCGGAUUAGCUAGUUGGCGGGGUAAAGGCCCACCAAGGCGACGAUCCGUAGCUGGUCUGAGAGGAUGAUCAGCCACACUGGAACUGAGACACGGUCCAGACUCCUACGGGAGGCAGCAGUGGGGAAUAUUGGACAAUGGGCGCAAGCCUGAUCCAGCCAUACCGCGUGGGUGAAGAAGGCCUUCGGGUUGUAAAGCCCUUUUGUUGGGAAAGAAAUCCAGCCGGCUAAUACCUGGUUGGGAUGACGGUACCCAAAGAAUAAGCACCGGCUAACUUCGUGCCAGCAGCCGCGGUAAUACGAAGGGUGCAAGCGUUACUCGGAAUUACUGGGCGUAAAGCGUGCGUAGGUGGUUAUUUAAGUCCGUUGUGAAAGCCCUGGGCUCAACCUGGGAACUGCAGUGGAUACUGGAUGACUAGAAUGUGGUAGAGGGUAGCGGAAUUUCCUGGUGUAGCAGUGAAAUGCGUAGAGAUCAGGAGGAACAUCCUUGGCGAAAGGCAGCUACCUGGACCAACAUUGACACUGAGGCGCGAAGCGUGGGGAGCAAACAAG